rnacentral:rRNA from 1 species
CCUACGGGAGGCAGCAGUGAGGAAUAUUGGUCAAUGGCCGUAAGGCUGAACCAGCCAAGUCGCGUGAAGGAAGAAGGCCCUAUGGGUUGUAAACUUCUUUUAUAAGGGAAUAAAGGUAUCCACGUGUGGAUAUUUGCAUGUACCCUAUGAAUAAGCAUCGGCUAACUCCGUGCCAGCAGCCGCGGUAAUACGGAGGAUGCGAGCGUUAUCCGGAUUUAUUGGGUUUAAAGGGUGCGUAGGCGGGAUGCAAAGUCAGUGGUAAAAAUGCGGUGCUCAACGCCGUCGAGCCGUUGAAACUGGCGGUCUUGAGUGGGCGAGAAGUAGGCGGAAUGCGUGGUGUAGCGGUGAAAUGCAUAGAUAUCACGAAGAACUCCGAUUGCGAAGGCAGCAUACUGGAGUCCGACUGACGCUGAGGCACGAAAGCGUGGGUAUCGAACAGGAUUAGAUACCCGUGUAGUC